rnacentral:rRNA from 1 species
AUUGAACGCUGGCGGCAGGCCUAACACAUGCAAGUCGAGCGAGCGGCGGACGGGUGAGUAAUGUAUGGGGACUGCCCGUUAGCGGGGGAUAACUACUGGAAACGGUGGCUAAUAACGCGUACUAUCCGCUUACGCAUAUGGGAUUAGCUAGUAGGUAAGGUAAUGGCUUACCUAGGCGACGAUCCCUAGCUGGUCUGAGAGGAUGAUCAGCCACACGGGGACUGAGACACGGCCCAGACUCCUACGGAGGCAGCAGUGGGGAAUAUUGCACAAUGGGCGCAAGCCUGAUGCAGCCAUGCCGCGUGUAUGAAGAAGGCCCUAGGGUUGUAAAGUACUUUCAGUCGGGAGGCGUUACCGACAGAAGAAGCAACGGCUAACUCCGUGCCAGCCGCCGCGGUAAUUC